AAAUACUACGGGGGGCAGCAGUGGGGGAUAUUGCACGAUGGGGGAAACCCUGAUGCAGCGACGCCGCGUGUAGGAAGACGGUCCUCUGGAUUGUAAACUACUGUCCCCAGGGCCGAAGAUGACGGUACCUGGGGAGGAAGCUCCGGCUAACUACGUGCCAGCAGCCGCGGUAAUACGUAGGGAGCGAGCGUUGUCCGGAAUUACUGGGUGUAAAGGGAGCGUAGGCGGGGAU
rnacentral:rRNA from 1 species